rnacentral:lncRNA from 10 species
AGGAUUUGGAGGCUCCAGGGUAUGGCUGAGCCCAAGAUGUCAAAGUCUGGGUCAGUGAAUCACAGUAUGGGAGGCCAGUUGCUGAAUGUCUAUACUAAUUGUUACUUCAGCAAGCAAUCAACGACAGUUCUAGGAGUUAACAGCAGCUUCCUGAGCCAGAACAGACCGAGAGAGACUCCUGGGGAGCUUUGAAAAAAAGAAAUUUAUUUCUCAUGGUUCUGGAAGCUGGGAAGUCCAAGAUCAAGGAAGCAGCAAAUUCAAUGUCUGGCCAGAGUCCCGCCUCCUCAUAGAUUCAUGGAUAUUCUUCUUGCUGUUUUCUCACAUGGUGGAAGAAGCAAGGCAGCUUCUGGGGUCACUUUUAUAAGGGCACUCAUGCAAUUAUGCAGGCUCUGUCUUCAUGUCCAAAUCAUCUCCCAAAAGACCCCAUCUCCUAACAAAUGAAUGCUGGGGU